CCCUUAGAUGUUCUGGGCCGCACGCGCGCUACACUGACGAAUGCAACGAGCUUAUAACCUUGGCCGAAAGGUCUGGGUAAUCUCCAAAUUUCGUCGUGAUGGGGAUAGAUUAUUGCAAUUAUUAAUCUUCAACGAGGAAUGCCUAGUAAGCGCAAGUCAUCAGCCUGCGUUGAUUACGUCCCUGCCCUUUGUACACACCGCCCGUCGCUCCUACCGAUUGAAUGGUCCGGUGAAGCGUUCGGACCGUGGCCUUUGGACGGUUCGCCGUCUGUUGGCUGCGGGAAGUUCGUUAAACCUUAUCAUUUAGAGGAAGGAGAAGUCGUANCA
rnacentral:rRNA from 1 species